AGCAGACAGAUACUCUUACUGAUGGCCCGAAAAAACAAGGGGCAGGUGCUUUUACCGCAUAGGUUGCUGCUAAAAAGAAAGCGAAGAAUCAUUAAAA